rnacentral:rRNA from 1 species
CCUACGGGUGGCAGCAGUGAGGAAUAUUGGUCAAUGGCCGGAAGGCUGAACCAGCCAUGCCGCGUGAAGGUCAGUGCCCUAUGGGCGUUAAACUUCUUUUGUGCGGGAGCAAUAAUGGUCACGUAUGGCCAGACGAGAGUACCGUACGAAUAAGCAUCGGCUAACUCCGUGCCAGCAGCCGCGGUAAUACGGGGGGUGCAAGCGUUAUCCGGAUUUAUUGGGUUUAAAGGGGUCGUAGGAUGUGAGGGAAGUCAGCGGUGAAAUGCCCCCGCUCAACGGGGUGAAGUGCCAUUGAUACUGCCAUGCUGGAAUGCGGAUGCCGUGGGAGGAAUGUGUGGUGUAGCGGUGAAAUGCAUAGAUAUCACACAGAACACCGAUUGCGAAGGCAUCUCACGAAUCCGCGAUUGACGCUGAUGCACGAAAGCGUGGGUAUCAAACAGGAUUAGAUACCCGAGUAGUC